rnacentral:tmRNA from 1 species
GGGGACGAUCUGGUUUCGACGUGGGUUGCAAAGCAGCGCAGGGCAUACCGAGGAUCAGAUUACCUCGUAAAUCCAUCUGAAAACAAUAG